CUCUCUCUUGCUCUCGCCGCUGCAGAAGAGCGACCUGAGAGCUCGACUCGCGCAGACCCUCCUGCAACACAGACGUAUCAGGAAACAUGACAACAUCACCGCAUGGAGGCUGCACUGGAAUGAACGACAGGGACACAAGAGCUCCACUUCUUUUGUGGUCUGAAGGAGCUUCUUCUCCAGAUCUGAGACCUUCUCCAUGGCCUCCCUCUCAGUCUCCUGAAGCCUGGUGCUCAGCUGGGCGCCCAAACACAACUUCUGAACGUCCACGGGUCACCUCGAGGUAGUCAUCCAGCCCGUGACGAGUGAACUCGUACUGCAGGUGGACCCUGAAGUUCAUGUUUUCCACUGAGUGGACCACGAUGUUGAUGAACUGCAUGCAGGCCACCUGGUGGACAGACGAGGUCCUUUUGGAGCUGCAAAAAGCUUCACACAACCUUUCACCUGUUCAGAAGAGCACAUGACGACAGGUGGAGAUCCCCUUCCCCUUGUGUGUGUCCUCACAUGUGGUCACGUGAACGCGGUGUUGCUGGUUGCAGACUUACCAUGAAGUCGAUGUUGCCAUCUUCCUUGUAGAAAUACUCCAUUAGCUUCUCGAAUCGGCUUUUCUCUCCACACGUCUGAGAAACAUUGAGAGGGAGUGAGAAUUAGAAUCUGCUGCUGGACGACACCUGGCAGGUGACAUCAGCUGUUGGUGUGUUAGGUCUGAGGUCCUCUGCAUUAUGCCCUGUCCUCGACUGCACACAUGGGGGCAGUAAGCUCACACAGGAAGUACAAAACAGAAUUACACAAGUCUGUUUGUGCAGUCGUGAAGAAGUUUCAGGUUCGUUUUGAGCUCAGGGACAAACAGUAAUGAAGGCAGUGACGAACCCAGCGGUGCUCUUUGCUUAGCGCAGAAUAAUUUGCUGCGUUACUCACAGACUCGCGUCCUCUUCGUCCUGCAGGCAAACUGUUACAUAAGCAGGCUUCAGCACAGCGAGUGUAUGGGAGGACAACAGCACAAUGUGUCUAAGCAAGAGUUGUGUUUUCUUAGCUAACGGCUCAGCAGAUUCCUCGUCUCUUCCAUCAGCUUCAGCCCGUCUGUGUUUCACUUUGCCUCCCCCCUUUUCUCCCCCCACUCGUGUCUGCUGAAUAAUGCAGGAUGCCAACCUGACAGGCUGCACAGCCCAAAACAACGUCCACGUUCAGCUGCUGAGGGACACAUGAGCCAGCUGCUGGCUCAGCGCCCGCCUGCCUGCGCUUUAUCUAUCGCUGGCUCCAUCUUUCAUUGUCGCCCUCUGGCUCUCUCUCACACACACACACACACACACACGUCGGGGUUGCUGUGGUACUCAGUGUGGUAGGCCAGUCGCCACCGUGGUAACUGAAGCCACACUGAUCAUCCAGGCAACGCGAGGCCCGACGUCAGACAGAUCAGUACUGAAAAACUGACAGGUUUUUAAUUCAUCAGCUCGUCCCGCUUUUUUUGGGGGGGGGUUCAUUACCACACACACACACACACACACACGUUGUACUGCAGCAAACAAACUGCAGCAGCCAUUGGUUCUCAUCAAACUGUUGUUUUAAGGCUUGUGAAGCUGUCAGUGGAUGCUGAUCAGCCUGCAGACAUCAAAGUCCUGCUUGUUGCAGGGCAGGUUUCUAACGUCCUCGACAUCCAGUAAAAAUAGACCCUCCUGGUUCAGAUUUAUUCUCCUUUCUGUAUGUGUGUGUGUGUGUGUUUUGCAGCCACAAGAUGACAGGUUGGAAACAGUUGCUGCUUUCUGAGGCAACAAUGAGAGGUCAGAGGCAGCUCGAGUGUUUCGCGUGUUUACGCCGCUUCAGUCGGCGUCGUCUGGCGGUGAGACAACUGGCAGAGCAGCUGACGGCGGGUGGGGGGUCUCCGGGGUUCCCCUCAACCUGCUUUCCAAUGCGUUAAAGGGCUGCUGGUAUGCGGGUGCUGCAGCACGAACACCAGUUUAAAAUAACGGCUCAGUGCGGGAAGUUUGGGGAUGAUGCGGUUGCCUGCUCUUAUCACACAGGCUGACCAUCAAAGCUCUAAUUAAUCCUAAUGGUUUUGUGCUGCUGGGGCGUCACAGUGCGCCAGUGCUGAACCAUAACUGUGAUCUGAAACAAUGAGAUGCCAUACUGAUACUACAGCAGAGUGUUGGCUGCGUUGAGGUCCUCUCAGCCAGGUGUGCUCUCAGGUGUGUUAGUAAGAGUGUAAAAACCUCUUUGAAGUUGUCAAAGGCGGACAGGAUGAUGUCGUGGCCUCCUCUCACCAGGCAGACGGCGGCCAGCAGCUCCAGCACCAGCGCUUUGGUCCUGAGGAGAAACACCUGGACUCCGUCAUACGUUCUCAGGUUUAUCAGACGUAUGAAGAUCCUGUAGUCCGGUUCAUACCUCAGGUUCCUGUUGUUCAGGCUGAGCGUGAUCUCGUUGACGCAGCAGGGAUGCUUCAUCACCAGGCUGAAGCCAGUCUGACACACACACACACACACACACACACACACACAGGCUGUAAUCAUAUUUUAAAUGCAUCACUUCUGCUUCUCAUUGUUAUAUGACUGCUGAUGGCUGACCUAAACAAUCAGAGACAAACUCAUAGUCAUGAGACGCAGUCAAACUGAUCAGCUGAGACACCCACUCCUGCUUCAGAAAGUCAAACUUCUCAAACUCUCCCACAGUUUUUACUGGCAUUCGAGUUCAUUUUGACCUUGACUUGAUUUUGAUUAAGAGAGUCUACAGUGCCGAGCUGCGUCUCAUGAUCCUGACUUGACCCUUAUGUUUAAUGUUUGUCAUAGCUGACUGCUGGUUUGGACUGCAGGAGGUGCAGGAGCUUCGGGGUACCUGGUAGUUCAUGAUGGCACGUAAACACAUGAUGCAGAGGUGAACGUCGUCCGUCUGGCUCGCGACUCGAGAGCUCCUCAGGACUUUCCUGUUUUGAAGAGGAGAGUGUUGUUUUUGUCUGCGGGCGGCGUCCCAUCGUCCAACGUGUCCGCAUCGCACCUGAGAGUCACAGAGAGCCCACAGAGGUAUUCACGGGACUGAUACAGUGACAGGAAGUGGCCGCGUGAAGGAGAUAAGACACGACUGGUCCAGGAAUGCUGUUUCAAGCUGAUACGAACUCCUGAGCCCAGCUGUGAGGAGAACAGACGGUUCAGUGACACAGCUGGAGACAGAAAACGUCACCUGAAAUCUCACCUUUUCUCCAACAUCACCUGAGUUUGUCUGAGGGCAUUCAGACUUCAGCGUUUGACCUCGUUUGGGAAACGGGAACUGGAGCGAGACUCACCCUAUAUAAUUGGUCCUCAGGGAAAUCUCCAGCUCUCUGAGGAUCUGCGUGGAUUCCUGCACUCGUCUCUUAAACUGUCAGAACACAAGACGGGAACUUUUAAGGUGGGGAGGAAACUCUGGAGGAAACUCCCCCUAAAGCUGCAGACUUAGUUGGGCUUGCAGGCAGACUCUGGAAGGCCUCCAUCUGCUGCUGGAUGCUGGGACCCUCUGGGCCUUUGAUCUUCAUGUCCACAGGAAA